rfam:Bacillus marisflavi strain JCM 11544 scaffold1, whole genome shotgun sequence.
CAAAAAGCGAUGAUGAGACGAGUAGCUAGGGUUAAAACAGUAAAGAGACCUCCGGUAGCUGAAAAGGGGGCUGUAGAAUCCUAUUGAAAAAAACCUCUGAGCUCCACAAGGAAUUGAGUUCUCAAGGAUGAUGUGGCGGAUUCCACCGUUAAAAGGAUAGGGUAUCGCAUAAAGCCGUACCUGAUAAGGCCGUACAGGUGACUGUAACGGUAAACUGAGGUGGUACCGCGGAUGUGUAAGCUUCCGCCCUCAAG